GCGGCUGUCUUAGGGGAGUAGUCUGCUUCGCACCUCCCACGCGAAGCGCCGUCGUCAACAUAUUUGGCCGAAUCCGGGCCAUGGCGCCGGCAGCCGUUUCCACGGCCUGACGAGACCUAUGACGUUACCCUUCCACCCGGGCCGGGCGGAGGGCAGCGUCAUGGUUGCGUCGCCCGGCCCU
rnacentral:sRNA from 2 species